rfam:Phaseolus vulgaris cultivar G19833 chromosome 1, whole genome shotgun sequence.
GCUGGUUUGCCCGAGAGGUUAAGGGGAAGACUUAAGAUCUUCUGCAGUCAACUGCGCAUGGGUUCGAACCCCAUAGGCAGCA